UUCAACAGUCUCAGCCUUCAUAGUGAGAUGAUAUUCUCAUGUCGUCCAUGGCUACUUGUAGAUCAAUUUGCUUUAAUGGAUUAAUGGGUUGGGAUUCUCCAACAACAAAUAGAAGGAGAUUUUGCUGAUUUUUUUUUUUACCAAAGUUAAUUUUUUCUUUUUCUGCUUUCAAUUAAUUUUGUGGGUUUUCUUUUAAAUGCACUAUUUAUUUUUUUGACAAAAAAAAAUUAUUUUGAUGGUUUUGGUUUCAUUUGAUUGGAGUACCAAACUGUUGGCGCAAUAUUCGUUCUGAAUUUGCUGGGAUCUCAUGGUGAUUAAUAAGGACAAACUAAAUGGUGUUGGUGCAGCAACAUUUAGAAAGCCAGCAUGCAAUGAAUGUUAUAACAAGAGAACCCAAUGCUCCAGUAAACCCCAAAAAGAACCCUUAUCCCAACCCAACACUUUCCCUUCUACUUCGUUUCCCUUGGCUCCACCAUUAAUCUCUUUAACUAACUAAUUAGUUUCAAGCCUUCUCAAACACAACACUGGAGCUCAAGGGUCCAUUCCUCAACAUUGCUCCCAAUAAAGCAAAUUGGCAUCUUUGAAGGGAUGUGUAAGAGAAGCUUCAUAAAGCUUUGAAGGUGCACUCAUAAGGCAAUUUAUAAACUUAUGGCAAGGAUUCUCAUAUCGAUUAUAAUGCUGGGACAGAACUUUCUUAGCAUUGAUUUGUAAUUGGAGGUGAGAGUAGAGAUAGAGCAGUUGAGUGAGAUUCCUACAGCUGCACCUUGAAGACUGCUUGUGACUAGCCUCGGGUAUAUUAUAGGUAUACCCUUGUAUAUUAGAUUUUGAAUAUGCAUGUAAAUAUAUGUGUGUAAUUUAUUUGAGCAGAUGUAUAAAACUUUUGAAAUGUUAUUUUGGGUGUGUAAUGGAAAUGCAAAUUUAAUUGUA